AACGAACGCUGGCGGCGUGCCUAACACAUGCAAGUCGAGCGGGAAAGUUCCCUUCGGGGAGCGAGUACAGCGGCGAACGGGUGAGUAACACGUAGGUAACCUACCCUGGAGAUCGGGAUAACCUGCCGAAAGGCGGGCUAAUACCGGAUAAGACCACGAGGGCUGCGGCCCUUGAGGAAAAAGAAUGGCCUCUGCUUGCAAGCUAUCACUCUGGGAUGGGCCCGCGGCCUAUCAGCUUGGGUGGGGNGAUGGCCUACCAAGGCGACGACGGGUAGCCGGCCUGAGAGGGGCGACCGGCCACACUGGGACUGAGACACGGCCCAGACUCCUACGGGGAGGCAGCAGUGGGGAAUCUUGCGCAAUGGGCGAAAGCCUGACGCAGCGACGCCGCGUGA
rnacentral:rRNA from 1 species